UACGAAGGGUGCUAGCGUUGUUCGGAAUCACUGGGCGUAAAGCGUGCGUAGGCGGCUUUGCAAGUCAGGGGUGAAAUCCCACAGCUCAACUGUGGAAUUGCCUUUGAAACUGCAUGGCUGGAGUAUUGGAGGGGUCAGGGGAAUUCCUAAUGUAGUGGUGAAAUACGUAGAUAUUAGGAGGAACACCGAGUGGAGCGGAA
rnacentral:rRNA from 1 species